AGCAGCCGCGGUAAUUCCAGCUCCAAUAGCGUAUAUUAAAGUUGCUGCAGUUAAAAAAGCUCGUAGUUGAAUUUCGGGACCAUCAUGUCGGUCGUGCCUCGGUACGUACUGGCAUCGUUGGUUUCUCCCUUCUAACGAACCAUGAUGUCAUUAAUUUGGUGUCAUGGGGAAUCAGGACUGUUACUUUGAAAAAAUUAGAGUGUUUAAAGCAGGCUCACGCUUGAAUACAUUAGCAUGGAAUAAUGAAAUAGGACGUUUUGAUUCUAUUUUGUUGGUUUCUAGGAUCGACGUAAUGAUUAAUAGGGAUAGUUGGGGGCAUUAGUAUUCAAUUGUCAGAGGUGAAAUUCUUGGAUUUAUUGAAGACUAACUACUGCGAAAGCAUUUGCCAAGGAUGUUUUCAUUAAUCAAGAACGAAAGUUAAGGGGAUCGAAGACGAUCAGAUACCGUCGU
rnacentral:rRNA from 1 species